CAGCAUUUAGUUGGGCACUUUAGUAAGACUGCCGGUGACAAACCGGAGGAAGGUGGGGAUGACGUCAAAUCAUCAUGCCCCUUAUGACCUGGGCUACACACGUGCUACAAUGGAUGGUACAACGAGUUGCGAGACCGCGAGGUCAAGCUAAUCUCUUAAAGCCAUUCUCAGUUCGGACUGUAGGCUGCAACUUGCCUACACGAAGUCGGAAUCGCUAGUAAUCGCGGAUCAGCACGCCGCGGUGAAUACGUUCCCGGGCCUUGUACACACCGCCCGUCACACCAUGAGAGUUUGUAACACCCGAAGCCGGUGGCGUAACCCUUUUAGGGAGCGAGCCGUCUAAGGUGGGACAAAUGAUUAGGGUGAAGUCGUAACAAGAGCUGCCC
rnacentral:rRNA from 2 species